GCGGGUGGUCACUGGGCAGCGUCAGCCGGACCGCAAGAGGGACGUGCCCAGGGCUGAAGGGAGAUCAGGAACAACGGGCAAUCUUCCCCCAGAGCCCGGAGUUUUGCAAACAGUGUUACUCAGCACGCGUUGGCAUUCCUAAGGCCUGGAGUGGGGGCAGUUCCUGUGGAUGCCAUCUAUGGAGCAGUUAUGAUGGCCGGAUGGGGGAGGGGGGCACCCGGGGCGGGUGUGUGUGUGUGUGGAGUGAAGUUCUAGAAAUGAGGACGCACUGCGCGGUGUCACUGGAGCACAACCUCCUUUUGUGCAACACGAGGGCAUAUACCGUGGAGGUGACAGAGUUUAGACUCAAGGGCCUGUGCUAAGCUGCUUUGUUGGGGAGAGCGCCCAUUUCAUCAAAAAUUUUUCUUUCACUGAAACACGUAAUAUAGAGGUAAAUUUGUUCUCUUAUUCUCACGAAGAGGCUAACACCACCUUGCCCUGGACUGAUCAAGGCAUGGGUAGUCAUCAGAACGCCUUUCAGCACGUUUUCCUCAAGACUGACAGGCCUGGAAGGUCUUUAGAGGCUGAUCUCUGGGUGGGGUGCAGAGGGGCCCCGAGUAAUAUCUUGCAGCAUCGCGUCUACCUGCCUUUUAAGACUCUGCUCUCCUGGUUCUUAAACUCAUCCGAAACGGACUCCUUCAAGUGUAACCAGGCUGCUUUAUUUCAACCUAAACAAUGUUGUCUUGCUCUGUCUGGGGGAAGGGGAGGAAUCAGAGAGUAGGAGAAUGACCUGUCUUUGGAAGCCUCCAUGAAAGCAUGGCAUCUGCAUAUCUAAAUGUGCUCAUUCUGGGGCUUAAGACCUGGCACUUGUGAAGCACCAGACACCUUAUCCCGGGAAGCCUUCUGGUCAGGAAAGCUGUGCCUUGAGAGAUAGGAAAGGGUGGGGGAGAUCCUGAAGAUCUGCACCGACUCUGCCCUCACCCUGGUUCCAAGAUUCAGGUCACAGCAACCCAGCCCCCCCCCCCCCCAGGGGUUUUAGGUACAGCGAUGUGAGUAUUGUCAAUUAAGACUUCAAGGCCAAGGGCACCAGUUUCCCAUUUUGGGUAGCAGCCAGUAGUAGCCCCCAAGAUGAGUGCUAAGGAUGUCAUAGGUAGAAGAAGCAAGCUCUUUGUUUAGUGAUCGCCAGAGAAAAAAUUGUUUUUACUGUAGGUGAUUUUUAAGAAACGUUCAUCAAAAGCUGUUGAUACUCAUUUAAAAAUGAUACUUUUGGGGACGCCUGGGUGGCUCAGUCGGUUGAAUGACCAACUCUUGAUUUCCGCUCAGGUCAUGAUCCCUGGGUCCGGGGAUCGAGCCCCAUGUCGGGCUCUGCGCUGUGGAGCCUGCUUAAGGUUCUUUCUCUCUGCUCCUCUCCCCUGCUCGUGUUCUCUCGCGCUCUCUCUCUGAAAUAAAAUUAAUUAAUUUUUUUAAAAGAAUUUUAAAUGAUACUUUUUAACCAAUACAUAUUUUUGACCCAUUGUCCCUUCUGGCAAUGUGCCACAAAAGUUUAAAUAUGCGUAAGCUCCCCUUCAAAAUAUUAUUUAUAGUACUAAAUAAUUGGAAACAACUGAAAUGUUCCACUAGAGAGGAAUGGAUGAGUAAACUAUAAUUUGUAUCUUAGUGGACUAUUAUGGGACCAUUAAAAAUUGUGGUUACAUUACACCAUAAGAUGAGAAGCGAUUAUGAUACAAUGUUGAGUGAAGAAACAAAACAAAAUUAUAUAAAGAUGACAUUUACAAAGAUGUAAAUAUGCACAUGGACUGAGUGAAGUGGUCAUUGUGAUAGUGAUGUAGGAUUAUAGGUAUUUUUACUGUAUUUUUCAGACCUAAAUAAUGCUUUUUAUUAUCUCUAUAACUUAAAAAGUGGAAAGAACGAAACUAGAUCACUCUUUUUUAGGAGACAGUCUCCUAGUGGAUGAGAAGCCUUCUGAACUUGGCAAUGGUGAUGCUGGUGGAGAGAAGCCACCCUCUGGAUGAUUAAGAGGAAUCUUGGCAAAUGUGGACAUGCCCAUAGUUUUCAGAGACACCAGACUUUUUUUUCUUUGAACUUUUUUUUAAUUUUAUUUUUUAUUUUAUUUUAUUUUAUUAAAUUUUUUCAAAUGUUUUAUUUAUUUUUGAGAGAGAGAGAAAGAGAAAGAGAGAGAGAGAGAGACAGAGCAUGAGUGGGGGAGGAGCAGAGAGAGAGGGAGACACAGAAUCCGAAACAGGCUCCAGGCUCUGAGCUGUCAGCACGGAGCCUGACACGGGGCUCAAACUCACAAACCGUGAGAUCAUGACCUGAGCCGAAGCUGGACGCUCAGCUGACUGAGCCACCCAGGUGCCCCUAUUUUUUAUAUUUUAAAAUUUACAUCCAAAUUAGUUAGCCUAUAGUGAAACAAUGAUUUGAGGAGUAGAUUCCUUAAUGCCCCUAACCCAUUUAGCCCAUCCCCCCUCCCGCAACCCCUCCAGAAACCCUCAGUUUGUUCUCCGUAUUUAGGAGUCUCUUCUGUUUUGUCCCCCUCCCUGUUUUUAUAUUAUUUUUGUUUCCCUUCCCUUAUGUGCAUCAGUUUUGCAGAGACACCAGACUUUUUAAAAUGUCAUUAAAUAAAUGUUAAGCUAGAGCCGUUUAGAGAAUCUGGAAAAUUUACUAUAAGUAUUCAAUACUUUUUCUCAUCAUGUAAGGAAGAUAUGGUGGUUUGGCACUUAGCAUCCAUCUUAAACUCCUUCUUGUACUGCAGUGGCCAGAAAUUUUUAAACCACAUUUAUCAGACCCUUGCAGCUAGGAGGCCAGAUGUGAGUUUGAUUCUGCUAAUUAGAUGAACUGGAGAGAUCUGGGAGGCAGUAAGGAGACAGAAGUCACCUUCCUGCUUCUUUGAUGCUUUCUGAUGCCUUGCGAGGUCAUAAACGCUCCGGCCAGGAGCAGCCGGGGUGGGCAAUGGCUUUCCUCUUGCAACAGCACGCCAGUGUCUGGUCACAGGAUCCAUGGAUGUCAAGAAGCAAUUGUGGCAAUGGGAGUGGCAGCAGGAAUGAUCCCUGAACCAUAGCUCCCUAUCCUGUUAUGCACGGCGUGUCUCUCCUGACCUCUAAUCACACGUGCGUCUCAAGGGUGGACCUCAGUUUCAGCUGCUGUUGGAGAACACUUGCAGACCAAUUGUGAACUUACAGAUAAGGAAACUGAGGCUCCGAGAAAUCAAGAAACAUGAACGAUGGCAUCUAUGAAGUCUGGCUCUGGAGCUCAAGCUCCAGAUGACUGCCCUGAAUUGCCUCACCUUUACAAGAGAGAAGCUCUCCAGGCCAGAGGCUGUGUGCUUGAGGCUGUGUCCCGGAGGACGAUUUGAGACCCCAAAGCACCCUUGAGCUGCAAUUCUGCGCCAGGGCUUGAAGCUUCCAGACUAAGUCUUGCUUCUUGUUCAAUUGAAAAAACAAACCGGGGCACCUGGGUGGCUCAGUCGGUUAAGCGUCCGACUUCAGCCCGGGUCAUGAUCUCGCGGUGAGUUCGAGCCCCGCGUCAGGCUCUGUGCUGACAGCUCGGAGCCUGGAGCCUGUUUCGGAUUCUUGUCUCCCUCUCUUUCUGCCCCUCCCCUACUCCUGCUCUGUCUGUCCCUGUCUCAGAAAUAAAUAAACAUUAAAAAAAGUUUUUUUUAAAAAACCGACUAGAACAAAAUAAAUUUACGGCAGUUAUUUCAACAACGGCAACAGAAAUACACACUCUGGACAUCUUUCCACAUGGUGAAAUACUCUUCAACAACAUCUUUCAUGGCUACAUAGGACAUGUCGCUUAUUAUUAGAUCACUUAUUGUUAGAUGUUUAGAUCCUUUCCAGUUUCUGCUCAGGGUUGGAACAAAUGUUCCUACAGCUCACCCCGGGUGUACAGCCUUAAUUAUGUCUUCAGAAAAAACUCCCAUAACUACACUCCCUUGGCCAAGAGUCUGAUUAUUUUCAAGGCUUUUGAGAUAUAGUGCCAACUAGACUUCCAAAAAUGUUGCAUCAGUUCACCCACACGUCAGGAUAGGAGAGUUUCCUUGGCAAAUUGAAACCAAUGCUAAUUAUUUACCUUAAAAAAAUUGUUCAGGGCACCUGGGUGGCUCAGUUGGCUGAGUGUCAGACUUUGGCUCAGGUCAUGAUCUCACAGUUGGGUUCGUGAGUUCAAGCCCCACCUCGGCUCGCUGUGUCAGCAUAGAGGCCAUUCCAGAUCUUCUGUCUCCCUCUCUCUGCCCUUCCCUCUCUUGCACUCUCUCAAAAAAAAAAAAAAAAAAUUGUUGUUCAUUGGACAGACAAAAAAUGGAACCUCAUAGCUUUAAUUCGCCAUCAGUUACUAGGCUCAAUUGCCUUAUGACCAUUAGAUACUGUUUCUUCUGGGUUGAUUGACCAUUAGGUCAUGUGCUUUGUUCUGUCUUCUAUUAGGGCACUCCCCUUUUUCUUACUGAUUACAGAGAGCUUCUUAUUUAUUAUGAUAUUGACUCUUUUUCAUGUGUGUUUUUAACUCUUUUCUGUUCCGUCAUUUGCCUUUAGAUUUUCUUAUUCUAAGU